rnacentral:rRNA from 1 species
GUGAGGAAUUUUGGACAAUGGGCGCAAGCCUGAUCCAGCAAUGCCGCGUGCAGGAAGAAGGCCUUCGGGUUGUAAACUGCUUUUGUACGGAACGAAACGGUCCUGGUUAAUACCUGGGGCUAAUGACGGUACCGUAAGAAUAAGCACCGGCUAACUACGUGCCAGCAGCCGCGGUAAUACGUAGGGUGCAAGCGUUAAUCGGAAUUACUGGGCGUAAACCGUGCGCAGGCGGUUUUGUAAGACAGGCGUGAAAUCCCCGGGCGCACCCUGGGAAUGGCGCUUGUGACUGCAAGGCUGGAGUGCGGCAGAGGGGGAUGGAAUUCCGCGUGUAGCAGUGAAAUGCGUAGAUAUGCGGAGGAACACCGAUGGCGAAGGCAAUCCCCUGGGCCUGCACUGACGCUCAUGCACGAAAGCGUGGGGAGCAAACAGGAUUAGAAACCCUGGUAGUCC